rnacentral:rRNA from 1 species
UACGGGGGGGGGCAAGCGUUGUUCGGAAUUACUGGGCGUAAAGGGCUCGUAGGUGGCCAACUAAGUCACACGUGAAAUCCCUCGGCUUAACCGGGGAACUGCGUGUGAUACUGGAUGGCUUGAGUUUGGGAGAGGGAUGCGGAAUUCCAGGUGUAGCGGUGGAAAUGCGUAGAUAUCUGGAGGAACACCGGUGGCGAAGGCGGCAUCCUGGACCAAUACUGACGCUGAGGAGCGAAAGCCAGGGGAGCAAACGGG